rnacentral:lncRNA from 1 species
CCCUACCUAUUGCAAUGGAAAAACUCAGUUCAAUUGCCACUCAUUCAGUCCCUGUUUCGGUCUGAAACCGUGUGUGCUGUGUGUGUGCUGUGGGAGCUCAGGGCUCUUCUUCUACCUUGGAGCAGGGGAGAGGGAGAGGGAGAGGGGAGGAGAGCAGGUGCUGCUCACCUCGGUGCAGGGUCUCUGUGCCAACAAUUGGUAUCGGAGCCGUACAAGCCAUAGCUAGGUCCUCUGACCAGCAAUGGCGGAGAGUGCGGGCCGGAAUGGUGGCGGGGAAGGUGGUGAGCGACAGCUCCAGCCGGCGCCACCGCAGGUUGAGGUGCGCGUGGUGAAGGAGUUCGGUGGCAGCGACUCCUGGCCCAUGCUCACCCGCACCAACUACGGUGAGUGGGUGAUGCAGAUGAAGUGGAAGCUGCGCGCGCGGAAGUGGUGGCGGGCGAUUGAGGAGGAUGACCGCACUAAGGACGCCCAGGUGGGAGUCAUGGAGGCGCUCAUGGCCUCGACGCCGGCGGAAUACCACGAGGCGCUGGGCGCCAAGGAGACCGCGAAGCAGGCCUGGGAGAUGCUGGAGUCGCUGCGUGUCGGCUCGGACCGAGCCAAGCGGGCAAGAAUCCAGCAGCUCCGCAGGGAGCUCAACGACAUCAAGUUCAAGCCCGGAGAAUCGGUGGAGGAGUUCACUCUUCGUCUUCAAUCCCUGGCCACGCAACUGGCCACCUACGGGAAGAAGGUGGACGACGAGGACCUCGUCACCAAGCUGCUGUGCACCGUGCCGGCAAAGUAUUCGCAGCUCGCCAUGUCCAUAGAGACGAUGUUGGAUAUCUCCACAUUGUCUCUGGAGGACGUGGCUGGGCGGCUGCGAGUAGCGGAGAGCCGCAUCACGCCGACACCAGAGAAGGAGAAGCCCAAGCUACUCCUGACGGAAGAGGAGUGGACCGCGCGCAUGAAGGACAAGCGCCGGACCGGGGAAGGCUCCACCAGCCGCGGCGGAGAUGGCGCCAAGGGGCGCGGGAAGCCGUCGACGGACAAGAAGAAGAAGAAGAGGAACACCGACCCCAACGCCUGCAGGCGCUGCGGGAAGGUGGGGCAUUGGGCACGAGAAUGCCCGGAGAAGAAGCCGGAGAAGGAGGAGGCCCACUUGGCUCGGGACGACAGCGACGACGAGUGCGCUCUGUUGAUGGGGGAGUGUUGCGCGCUGCAGGAAGGCGAAGCAGGGGAGGCGGAGGCGGAGCAGGGGACUGCGCCGCAGGCCGUCGAACUUGACGAGUCUCGCGCGCGUGUCCUCCUGGGAGCGGACGGCGAAGAGCUGGAGCAGAGGUGGUACCUCGACUCAGGCGCGAGCAACCAUAUGACAGGAAGCCGCGCUGUUUUCUCCGAGCUUGAUGAAGAAACCACCGGGAGCGUCAAGUUCGGCGAUGGCUCCCGGGUGGCAAUCCGCGGCCGUGGCACUGUCCUGUUCCGGUGUCGGAACGGGGAACAUCGGGCGAUGACGGAUGUCUACUGGAUCCCACAGCUGAAGACAAGCAUCAUCAGCCUCGGGCAGUUGGACGAGCGCGGCGCAGAGGUGGUGAUCAAGGGCGAAGUGCUGCGGAUCCGUGACCAAGAUCGGCGGUUGCUGGCCAAGGUCACAAGGUCGAAGAACCGGCUGUUUCUGCUGGACCUUAAGGUCGAGCAGCCGGUGUGCCUGGCGGCACAGUGCACGGAGGAGCCGUGGCUGUGGCAUGGCCGGCUCGGGCAUUUGAACUUCGACGCACUGAGCAGACUGGCGGCAAUGGUGAGGGGGAUGCCCAAGAUCCAACACGCCAGCGAGCUUUGUGACAGCUGCCUGGUGGGGAAGCAGAGGAGACUACCGUUCCCCAAGGAGGCGAAGUACCGCGCCAAGGAGAAGCUUGAGCUGGUUCAUGGCGACCUAUGCGGGCCUAUCACCCCGGCCAUGCAUGGAGGGCGGAGGUAUUUCCUCCUGCUGGUGGAUGACUACAGUCGCUACAUGUGGUUGCGGCUCCUGACCAGCAAGAGCGAAGCAGCAGAAGCCAUCAAGCAACUCAAGGCGAAGGUUGAGGCAGAGUCUGGGAGGAGACUGCGGGUGUUGCGAACGGACCGUGGAGGGGAGUUCACGGCGGUGGAGUUCGCCACCUACUGCGCGGAGGAGGGAGUGGAGCGCCAUCUCACGGCGCCCUACUCACCUCAGCAAAACGGUGUGGUGGAACGCCGGAAUCAAUCCAUCGUCGGGAUGGCGAGGUGCAUGCUGAAGGCCAAGGGAAUGCCGGCGGCGUUCUGGGGAGAGGCAGUGAGCACGGCGGUGUUCAUUCUCAACAGAGCACCGACGAAGGCGCUGAGCGGGAAGACACCGUUCGAAGCUUGGCAUGGCCGCAAGCCGAGCGUGGCAUUCAUGCGCACGUUUGGGUGCAUUGGGCAUGUGAAGAACACCAAGCCCGGCCUCACCAAGCUUGAAGACCGGAGCACGAAGAUGGUGUUCCUCGGCUACGAGGAAGGAUCAAAAGCCUACAGGCUCUACGAUCCAGUCACCGGGAGGGUGACAGUGUCCCGCGACGUCGUGUUUGAUGAAGCGGGGAAGUGGAGGUGGGAGGAGGAAGACUUGGCGGGAGAAGAGGGCGCGCUCGGGAUCGGUGGGACCUUCACCGUCGAGCAACUGGUUAUCACCAGUCAAGUCCACGCACCAACCGGAGUCGUGGAGGAAGCAGCAGCCCCUGGAGCAGGGGAAGCAGGGGGCGAGGCGACAGCAGCAGGGGAAGCUGAGCCGCCCAGCCCCACCACGACGGGCGGCACCCCGCCUCACUCUGUCUCAAGACAGGAGCAGAGGACUCCGACCACGGCUCAAGUGGAGUAUGCCACUCCACCACCAGACGUCACCGAAUUCGUGGACGCCUUCCACGACGGCGAGGAGGUACGAUUUCGUCGUGUGGACAAUGUUCUCGGUGAUGCAGCAACUCCGGGACUGGCAGCACGGUUGCUGGGCGAAGAGGAGGAGCUUAUGAUGCUGAGCACAGAAGAGCCGGCCACCUUCGCCGCAGCAGAGCGCGAGCCGGAGUGGCGGCGCGCUAUGCUGGAGGAGAUGCGGCAGAUCGAGGCAAAUCGGACCUGGGAGUUGGUCGAUCCACCGGCUGGAUGCUGGCCGAUCGGACUCAAAUGGGUCUACAAGGUGAAGAAGGACGAGCACGGCGCGGUGGUGAAGCACAAGGCGCGGCUCGUCGCUCGGGGGUUCGUGCAGCGAGAAGGGAUCGAUUUCGAGGAGGUGUUCGCGCCAGUGGCGCGCAUGGAGUCGGUGCGACUCGUCCUGGCCAUGGCGGCGGCCAAGGACUGGGCUGUUCACCACCUCGACGUCAAAUCCGCCUUUCUCAACGGCGACUUGACGGAGGAGGUCUUCGUCAAGCAGGCCCCAGGUUUCAUCGCACAGGGGGCUGAGCACAAGGUGCUCCGCCUCAGGAAGGCGCUCUACGGCUUGCGGCAGGCGCCGCGAGCGUGGAACUCCAAGCUCGACGCCACCAUGGCGGAGCUCGGGUUCACGCGGUGUGCAACAGAGCAUGCCCUGUACACCCGCCGACGGGGGAAGGAAGAACUCGUCGUCGGGGUGUACGUGGAUGACUUAAUCGUCACCGGUGCGCGGGAGAAGGACAUCUCAUCGUUCAAAACCGAGAUGGCGGCAAAGUUCCAGAUGACCGAUCUCGGUGCGCUGAGCUACUACCUCGGCAUCGAGGUGAAGCAGGGAGGCAAGGCAGUCACGCUGGGGCAGCGUGCCUACGCGCGCAAGGUGCUGGAGCGGGCGGGCAUGGAGAAUUGCAGGCCUGCAGCGACUCCGAUGGAGGAGCGGAUCAAGCUGUCGAAGCAGAGCACGGCGGAGAAGGUGGACGCAACGCGCUACCGGAGCAUCGUCGGCGGGCUGCGCUGGCUCACCCAUACUCGGCCGGACAUCGCGUUCGCGGUCGGGUAUGUAAGCCGGUUCAUGGAGGACCCGCGGGAGGAUCACUGGAUGGCAGUCAAGCGGGUGCUGCGCUACAUCCAGGGGACGAUGGAUCAGGCUCUCGUCUUCCCAAAAGGCGGGGGGUCUGGUUCAGGCGGGCUGGAGCUCGCGGCUUACAACGACGCGGACAUGGCAGGCGAUGUCGAUGGACGACGCAGCACCUCAGGCGUGUUGAUCCUCCUCGGCGCGGCACCUGUCGCCUAGCAAUCGCUGAAGCAGAAGACGGUGGCUCUGUCGACUUGCGAGGCAGAAUAUGUCGCUGCAGCCACCGCGGCAUGCCAGUUGGUGUGGAUGCGCCGGCUGCUGGGGGAGCUCACAGGCAUUGAGCCCCGGCCGCCUGUGCUCAAAGUGGACAAUCAGCCAGCAAUAGCUCUGGCAAAGAAUCCUGUUCUCCACGACCGAAGCAAACACAUCGAUGUGAAGUUCCACUUCCUACGUGAUUGCGUCGAGGAGAAGCAGAUUGUCAUCGAGUUUGUUGAGACUGGUCGACAACUCGCUGACAUCUUCACUAAGCCAGUUGGGCGACUUCGGUUCUUGGAGCUAAGGAGCAAGAUUGGCAUGGUGGAGGUCAAGAGUACACAGCAGGAUUAGGGGAAGAUUGUAAGAUAUAAUCUGCUGUCCCUCUUGUACUUUUGUCCUGCAUUCGGCAGGUUCAAGUGGUCAGCUCUUGGCUGCCACUGUAGAAGUAUGGCAAUAGGCCAUUUAGUCUUCCAUAGUUGGUAGAAGUACACCAGCUAGAGUAGUGGGCUGGUUUAGGCUGGUACAAGAGUAGGAAUUGGCUGAGAUAAGCCAUGUAGUGUAGUUGUUGGAGUGGUGUAGUCACCAUCCAAGUAGUGUACCAGCAGGUACAUAGUUUGUGUAUAUAUACCCUACCUAUUGCAAUGGAAAAACUCAGUUCAAUUGCCACUCAUUCAGUCCCUGUUUCGGUCUGAAACCGUGUGUGCUGUGUGUGUGCUGUGGGAGCUCAGGGCUCUUCUUCUACCUUGGAGCAGGGGAGAGGGAGAGGGGAGGAGAGCAGGUGCUGCUCACCUCGGUGCAGGGUCUCUGUGCCAACAUGAACUGAUCUUAAAC